UUUCACUAGCCAGUGAGACCCACACAAAGCCAAGUUGGUGUAGACUUAUUAGACAGACUGGAGCAUCCUCAAUAACUGUCAUAUAUAUUAGAUCUGGCAUUGAAAAUUAUAAUCUGUAAUGUGUAUACCAAUCUGUUAUUGGUAGGAGGUUUUAGUUUUUUGUUUUUUUUCUUUGAAAUGGUAGUUCGUGAAAGUCAUAUGUUUUUUGUUUUUACAUCCCUGUUUCUACAGUCUUUGUGGAUGCAUUUAUUUUUACUAUAUGUAAUUAAGGCUCAUUAUGGGUCAUCUACAUUUAUUUAGGUAUAUAAAAAAAAUACAGAAACUUGACACGACCUUAUACUCUCAAGACUUUACUUAUCCAGAAGUGUGUUCAAGACGUUGAACACCAUGGAUGUAAUUAGGA